UCCAGCAGUCCCAAAAUAUUAGUCAAUGCUCGAAAGAGUGAACUAGCUAACUGAAAUCAAUAAAAAUAAUUGAUAACAUAAGGGAAAAUAAUGAUAUUACCUUAUUAUUAGUGUCGUCCAAAACUGGUGCCAGAAGACUCGGUAAGGCCAGAGACACAAACGUUAAUCGUCUUAAUCAGGCGUAAAGGGUUUGUAGGCGGCUUUAAAAUUUACUUAUUAAAAAAAAUAAACAUAAAAAAAUAAUAAGUAAAGAAUAAAAGCUAGAAUCAAAUAGAGGAUAUAUGAAAUAAUGCUUAGAGUAGGUCUGAUAUCCUUAGAUACUAAGUAGAAUAUUAAAGGCGAAAGCUUUUUUCCAUUAAUGAUUGACGCUCAGAAACGAAGGUGAGGAUAGGAAAUAGGAUUAGAUACCCAGAAUACUCCUCUCUGUCAACGAUGAAUGGUAGUUAUUAGUAAAAAUUAUUAAUGGCAAUGUUAACACGAUAACCAUUCCGCCUUGUGAGUACAACUGCAAAGUUGAAAACAAAAAAAUUAGUCGGUUUCGGAGCAAACGAAGUGAAGCAUGUUAUUUAAUUCAAUAAUCCGCAAAA
rnacentral:rRNA from 1 species